rnacentral:rRNA from 1 species
GACGAACGCUGGCGGCGUGCUUAACACAUGCAAGUCGAACGAUGAACCCGGAGCUUGCUCCGGUGGAUUAGUGGCGAACGGGUGAGUAACACGUGAGUAACCUGCCCUUGACUCUGGGAUAACUGCGGGAAACUGUAGCUAAUACCGGAUACGACCCUCGGCGGCAUCGCCAGGGGGUGGAAAGAAUUUCGGUCAAGGAUGGACUCGCGGCCUAUCAGCUAGUUGGUGAGGUAACGGCGCACCAAGGCGACGACGGGUAGCCGGACGGGGAGGGUGACCGGCCACACUGGAACCGAGACACGGUCCAGACUGCUACGGGAGGCAGCAGUGGGGAAUAUUGCACAAUGGGCGAAUGCCUGGUGCAGCAACGCCGCGUGAGGGAUGAAGGCCUUCGGGUUGUAAACCUCUUUUAGCAGGGAAGAAGCGAAAGUGACGGUACCUGCAGAAAAAGCACCGGCUAACUACGUGCCAGCCGCCGCAGUAA